rnacentral:rRNA from 1 species
GAUCAUGGCUCAGGAUAAACGCUGGCGGCGCACAUAAGACAUGCAAGUCGAACGGAAGUCGUUGUAAUGAUAUAGACAUGGACGGAGAACUUGUUCAGAGAAAGUGAAAGUUGACUUACAACAAUGGCUUUAGUGGCGGACUGGUGAGUAACACGUAAGCAACCUGCCUAUCAGAGGGGAACAACAGUUAGAAAUGACUGCUAAUACCGCAUAUGCCCAAGUAUCACA